rnacentral:rRNA from 1 species
GAUGAACGCUGGCGGCGUGCUUAACACAUGCAAGUCGAACGGUGAAGGCGGAGCUUGCUCUGCUGGAUCAGUGGCGAACGGGUGAGUAACAAGUGAGCAAUCUGCCCCUGACUCUGGGAUAAGCGCUGGAAACGGCGUCUAAUACUGGAUACGAGCUGCUAAGGCAUCUUCAGCAGCUGGAAAGAACUUCGGUCCGGGAUGAGCUCGCGGCCUAUCAGCUUGUUGGUGAGGUAACGGCUCACCAAGGCGUCGACGGGUAGCCGGCCUGAGAGGGUGACCGGCCACACUGGGACUGAGACACGGCCCAGACUCCUACGGGAGGCAGCAGUGGGGAAUAUUGCACAAUGGGCGCAAGCCUGAUGCAGCAACGCCGCGUGAGGGAAGACGGCCUUCGGGUUGUAAACCUCUGUUAGCAGGGAAGAAGCGAAAGUGACGGUACCUGGAGAAAAAGCGCCGGCUAACUACGUG